rnacentral:rRNA from 1 species
UACGUAGGUGGCAAGCGUUGUUCGGAGUUACUGGGCGUAAAGGGUGCGUAGGCGGCUUUUUAAGUUUGGUGUGAAAUCUCCCGGCUCAACUGGGAGGGUGCGCCGAAUACUGAGAGGCUAGAGUGUGGGAGAGGAAAGUGGAAUUCCUGGUGUAGCGGUGAAAUGCGUAGAUAUCAGGAGGAACACCGGUGGUGUAAACGGCUUUCUGGACCAUAACUGACGCUGAGGCACGAAAGCGUGGGUAGCAAACAGG